CUGGAAAAUCAUCAUUCACUGGGAGUUUGGAAGCUAACUGAGUUACUAGCUGUAAUGAAACUCGAAUGUUUCAUUUGUGUACCUUUGUGUGGGCCCCCUACCUACACAGAUAUUCUUGUGCAAUACCUAGACUCACCAGAAGAUUGGGCUCGCUCUCUUUCCUAGUACCACAGAACUGGAGGCAAAAGCAGUCUGGGUGAACAUGAGGAUCUUUGAUGUUUGGGAAUUCCAGAAGCCUGACAGCCUGGUCAGAAUGUCAUUUCAGGUGCAAUCGCUAUGUAUGUGUGAAGACAAGUUGUAAUUCACACAUGCAAAUAGUUCUUAGCUUCAUUGGAAGAACUGAAUUUCUUACCGUGCUAUGUAUGGGUGCUUUGCACAUCUACAGUAAAUCCAGGAUGGUUUAAAUCUGUCAGGCUUAUGGUGGAUGUGUAGGCCAUCUGUUGAGCACUUCUGACUUCUCUGUUCAUGUUCUGCUAUUUUUCAAAAUACUGGACUGAAAUUCUGUAAGCUUUUGUCAUCUAAACAGAGAGAAGAGGUUUGUGCCUUGUUUAUGCU